GCUUGCCCUAAUAGCUCUGGGGUGAUAGCAACGCUUGCAGUUCAGAGGGCUGUAAUUUCUCAGCAAAGCAUUGGUGGAUCUGGUUCACCUGUGACACUUUCUGCUGUUGGCCGGAUAAGGAGUGGAGGUAAUGGUUGGAAAAAUACUCUAAGUGGUGCUGCUGCUGCUGCUACUGGAAACGUGAGCUCUCUAUCUGGGUCCAUUGCUUCAGCUUUUCAAUACUACAACAAAAACCAUAACCAAUAUACAGAUCCAGCCUUUCUAAAAUUAAAUUAUCACCUGCUGGUUUUUUCUUCCCCUGGCUGCGUGAUACAAUAUUCUUUACGGAUGUGUUCUGGCCUAGAUUCUCUUACAACCACCACUCCUGUGGUGGCCACAACAUAUGAGUCAGGCGUUGAAGUUGAUACAAGAUUAGUCGUAGAUGCAAUACAGAAGUGGAAUAUUUGCCAGAAACAGAAUCGCAAAGAACGAGGUGGUAAUAUGGAUAUAUAUGGUGAAUUUGGAGAUUCUGAUAACAGUAAAAUAUUUCCUGAACGAAUGAAGGUAGAAAAUGGUCUCUAUUCCAAGAUUAGCAAUACAACCACAGAAGAAAAGAGAAGUUCUGAUGAAAGACAUCAUAUGUAUAUAUCCGAAGUGGAGCUUGAAAUGCAUAAACGUCAGAUUUCACUGUGGGCAAAACCAGAGAUCUAUUUUCAAUCAUUUGUUGCAGAUGAGGUUAAGAUAGGCGAUAUUUAUGCUUUUGGAGGAGAGACUGAGAUAGAAGAAGUUCCAACUCAUUUAGUCGAGGCGAGAUCAAAAGAUUUAGUCCCAGUUUUUGAUUUCAUUCAAGCUUCCAAGACCCAACCAGGGAGGGUAUCUGUUAACAGUGACAAUAGCCAACAGUCACUUCCUAGGCUGGAGGUCUCCAAUUACUGCAAUCUUAUGGCUAAUGGUGUUGAUGAAUUGCAUCAUUCCAUGACUGGUCCCAGGAGUAAAGUUCACUGCGGCCGAGAAGUUAAUGGGUUGGAUGGUCUUCCAAUGACAAGUCAAACUGCUAAUGGCUUUGUAAAUAGUAGUGAGAGCCCUAAAGCGGAUGCCGAGCUAGAUUUUGUAAAUAACAUGAAGUUUGUAAAUAAUAACCUAGAUGGCGCAGCAUUGGAGGAUCAUUUCGAAGAUGAAGUCGACGGUGUUGAUUAAAGGUGUUCGUUAUUCGUUUAUUACGCGGAAGGUUUCUGUAAGUGUUGAUAUUGUGGGGGGUGGAAAAUGUAGAGAAGAAAGAGGUUUUAGGCUCCUUGAUUGACCCAAUGAACAAAAUGUGGAUGCUUUAACUUUGUAUUGUAGAUAUUUAGAUAUGAAACUUAUCCAAUAAAUUAGCUGUAAUGUGUAAAUAAUUGCCUGGAUCUUGCAACUUGUUGCUUUUAUUUUACUAUAUCUUCA
rnacentral:misc_RNA from 1 species